UUGUUUCUCUGGAUUUUUGUUUGUUGUCUUCUCAGCACCCAGUUAUGUUUGCUGCCAGCAGCCCAGGGUGCCACAGUCACCUGUACAAUUCCAUACGUUCAUAUCUCCUCAAUCAGAACAGAGCACAGCCCAUCGUUGGUCUGAACUCCAUCACAGAGGUUUUGGCAUAUAAUCAGCCUGCAUUGUACUUUUGUGAUGUCUGCAUUUUGAGGAUAACCAAGGCUGAUAUCAGGAACCACAUCAUGGGCAGCAUUCACAGAUACAAUUACAUUAAAUCUCAUCAUGCACAUGGGUGGACGUCUGAUACAGACCUGACUCUUUUGGCUCGCCCUCUAAUGGAUAUCGCAAAAAAGGUUGAAAAGAAGGAGGGAACAGGUGAUAUACAGGUUCUGAGUGUGGAUGCAGUCAUCUACAAGGAGAUGGCAUCAUUGCCAGUCCCUGAUGCUUUUGUUCAGAUGAAGAAGAUCAAGGAUCAGCCAAACCCCAAUGCACCUAAUUUGCUUGUUCAUAACAGCCCGUCUGAAGGUAAAGAAACCAGUGCUCAAGAACAGCAAGAGUCUGACAAUAUGAAUGGGACUGCACAACAUCCAACUUUAAGAUGUUUGGUCCCAACACAGUGUGUAUCUACGACACCAUCGAGGUCAAAGUGUUCAAGUUGGAUUGAACCCCAACACGUCUCAACCAAUCCAACACCAAAUCCAUCUCUCCAUAGAACCGCAGGUCCUGUCAAAACAUUAUUCACAUGCCAGGAUGUAUCUACACCUCAGAGUCUAGUGGAUUCUCAUGUUUCAUCUAGAAAACCUUUUCUAGAAAGCUCCCCAGCUCCAGUCCUCAGCCAACACAUAAAUCAGCAUCAACCAAUCCCAGUUAGAAGCCUUCAACGAUACAUAAUGCCAUCUGAAAACCAGUGUUGUACUGAAGCAAGGACAGUCUCUGUUGUAAGACCACCAAAACAGUGUAUCCCCAUCAGAAUUCUUGGCGAGAAUGACAUUGUGCAUGCUGGUGAAGAUGAUGGGAACAAUUCUGUCCAGUCAUUUGGAGUCAGCUAUGAAUCACAUCCAAUGCACCUGGCCCAAUCCAUUCCAUAUGAAAUCCAGCGGCAAACACCAUCUCUUUCAGUGAGCCACAUGGUACCAGAGUUAACCCAGGAUCUAUCAAACAGGCAUGGAUUUUUCAGGAUUGAAAGCUCACCUGAUAGUCCAGAGCCUGUCAGAGAUGUGGAGAUCGUUAUCAAGCAGAUCAGAACCCAAAUGCUAACAGAAGCACUGGAACCGGCCACAACGCAUGAUUUAAGUCCGUUUCAUGAUGAGUCUAAUUUACAAGAACCAAUCAACACCAGCUGGGAAGCACAUGAGGAGCCUCAAUCAGACACCUUAGCAGAGGAAAACACCUUUGUGUUCUCACAAAGUCCAAUUGCCCAGUCUCCUCUUACUCAGACUCAAAGUCCUUCUGAUCAGUUUCAAUCAAUAGAAGAUUUUCUAGAAAAUUACAAUGGUCGAAAGCCUCUUAUCGGUCUACAAGCUAUUAUUAAGUGCCAGAGCGUGGAUGGGAAUCCACCUCCGUGCUGUUACCUGUGUCAGCUGUGCUCUUUGAAGCUGAAGAAGAAAAAAAUAUUCCGCCAUUUGACUGGCUGUGAUCACCAGCGAAACUACUUAAAAGCUCUCCAUCCGAAGCUCUUGCCUAAAAAGCGUAAACACUGCAACACAAAUGAGAUGCUUGAGGAUAUUGCUAUCCAGCUGGAGAAAGAGGAUGGAAGAGGACAUAUUAAGGUGAUGAGGUUGUCUGCAUGUCUCAUGAGUGAGGUGCUGGAAAAGGAUUAUCAUUGGUGCAUGAGGGUGUUGAACUGUGGAGCCGAUGUGGGGUGGAGAUCAGGUCUGUUGUCUUUAAAGGAAGGAACUAACAAAACCACAGGUUCAAGUCAGACUCUUAAACGUCCAGCAGAGUCUAUGCUGCCCCCUUCUGAUGCACGGGCUUUUAUAGCUCCUGCUGGAGCUCCAACCCAUCAGAUGUCCAAAAAAAUAAAGAAGGAUCAUCCUAAGAAAGUAGUAUGUACAAACAAAGUUAAGGAGCCUGUGUUUAAGGUAAGCCUGUCACUGCAGGAGGGACCUGUUAUCAUUGAGAGAACAUCUCUAAGAGAGACAACCACAGUGGCGCCUGAGAUCGAAGACCAAAGCCCUGCAACCACAUGCACAGACAAUGAUGCACCGCCUUUAGAGACUAACACACAUUCUGAAGUUCAAAUGAGCUUUCACAGCUGUAUGUAUGAGACACAGUUCACAAAUCCUGCUCAUUAUGCAUACUCGGUGCAGUUUGACCAGUCUCAUGUUAUUCAAUUUCUCGAGCCUUCUCUCAGACCUAGGGACUGUGGUCCAGUGGAUGAGGUGGUCACUGUCACGUAUGCUGAUUGGCCGCUGCAGGACUGGUCUUGCAAUAACAACCAGUGGAUUGUAAUGAGGCAAAACAGGGAUGGAAGUGAUUAUUCUGAGUGUACAAGUUACAUGCAGUACUGAUGAGAAUGAGUCUUGAAGCAUCAACAAAGUUUGAGCACUUUUUUGAGAAGAUGCUGAGAAAUUAUUUAGCAACAGAAUUCCAUCCAAAGGGUUUUUUUUCUUUUCUUUUCUUUUUUCACUAUUACAAUAUUUUUCAGUAUUUUUUUUAACAGCCAUGUCUCUGAAGCUGGUAAGAGAUGGGACCGAACCAUUACUGAGUUACUAAAUUAUUUGUAUUUAGUAAGCUUAAAAACUUAAAAGGGCUUCUACAUAAUAUAUAGAUAUUGUUUGUUCUUAUCUUUAGUAAUGCAGAACAAUACACUGAAUUUGUCAAAACCUAUGCUAUAAUUUUUUUUCUGUUCAGAAUUUAAUGGAUUUUUCAUCAGUAUUAUUCCUUUAACUUCAUCCUCCAUCAAAAAGACAUUAUUUGUUAGUUACUUCCUACCUUAGCUAUAUAUAUAUGUAUAUAUAUGUGUGUGUGUGUGUGUAUAUAUAUA
ensembl:lncRNA